AGUGAACGCUGGCGGCAGGCCUAACACAUGCAAGUCGAGCGGCAGCGCGUCCGACCACCCUCGGGUGGUCGGAUGGCGGCGAGCGGCGGACGGGUGAGGAAUGCAUCGGAAUCUGCCUCGUUGUGGGGGAUAACGUAGGGAAACUUACGCUAAUACCGCAUACGACCUACGGGUGAAAGUGGGGGACCUUCGGGCCUCAACGCGAUGAGAUGAGCCGAUGCCGGAUUAGCUAGUUGGCGGGGUAAAGGCCACCAAGGCGACGAUCCGUAGCUGGUCUGAGAGGAUGAUCAGCCACACUGGAACUGAGACACGGUCCAGACUCCUACGGGAGGCAGCAGUGGGGAAUAUUGGACAAUGGGGGCAACCCUGAUCCAGCCAUGCCGCGUGUGUGAAGAAGGCCUCGGUUGUAAGACACUUU
rnacentral:rRNA from 1 species